ACGUUAUUGUGGUAAAAGCGCUCUUAAUUAAAUCUGCUCUAUCAAGGCUGUGUCACCGCUAUCAAGUGGCGAACUAUCUUAGGCUUCGAUGCUGACUUAUUUGUUAUGUUAAAGAAGUGACUAAUGUGUGCAAACAUUUACCCUCAACAAAAUAGUGCCAUGAAAUAAGUGAGGUGGUUGAAUAUUAUUCGGUGGAAUAAUGGAGAAGAACCAGGGUUUCAUUUAUGUUGGCUUUCGAAUCGGAGGUAUCAACUGAAAGGAACAAUUGGAAGGAACAUUUUUAUUGCAGCGUCAAAGGUGAAAUUCUUGGAUCAUGGUAAGACAAACAGCUGUGAAAGCAUUUUUCAGGCCUGUCUAAGUGAUCAGAUACCGCCCUAGUUCUAACUGCAAGUGAUACCGUCAGUGAUUCGUUGAUAUUAUACCACGACGGGAUGAGGAACUUCCGGAAAACAAACAUUAUCAGCUUCCU
rnacentral:ncRNA from 1 species